CCUACGGGUGGCAGCAGUGAGGAAUAUUGGUCAAUGGGCGUAAGCCUGAACCAGCCAAGUCGCGUGAGGGAUGAAGGUUCUAUGGAUCGUAAACCUCUUUUAUAAGGGAAUAAAGUGUGGGACGUGUCCUCUGUUGUAGGUACCUUAUGAAUAAGGAUCGGCUAACUCCGGGCCAGCAGCCGCGGUAAUACGGAGGAUCCGAGCGUUAUCCGGAUUUAUUGGGUUUAAAGGGUGCGUUGGCGGCCUUUUCAGUCAGCGGUUAAAGUCUGUGGCUCAACCAUAGAAUUGCCGUUGAAACUGGGGGGCUUGCGUAUGCUUGAGGCAGCCGGAAUGCGUGGUGUAGCGGUGAAAUGCUUAGAUAUCACGCAGAACCCCGAUUGCGAAGGCAGCCUGCCAAGCCAUGACUGACGCUGAUGCACGAAAGCGUGGGGAUCAAACAGGAUUAGAUACCCCAGUAGUC
rnacentral:rRNA from 1 species